rnacentral:rRNA from 1 species
UACGAAGGGUGCAAGCGUUACUCGGAAUUACUGGGCGUAAAGCGUGCGUAGGCGGUUCGUUAAGUCUGUCGUGAAAGCCCUGGGCUCAACCUGGGAAUUGCGAUGGAUACUGGCGAGCUAGAGUACGGUAGAGGAUGGUGGAAUUCCCGGUGUAGCGGUGAAAUGCGUAGAGAUCGGGAGGAACACCCGUGGCGAAGGCGGCCAUCUGGACCGAGAUUGACACUGAUGAGCGAAAGCGUGGGGAGCGAACAGG